AGUUUGAUCAUGGCUCAGGAUGAACGCUAGCGGCAGGCUUAACACAUGCAAGUCGAACGGUAACAUUGGUGCUUGCACCAGAUGACGAGUGGCGCACGGGUGCGUAACGCGUAUGCAAUCUACCUUUUACUGAAGAAUAGCCCAGAGAAAUUUGGAAUAAUCCUUCAUAAUAUCAUCUAUCAGCAUUGAUUUAUGAUUAAAGCUCCGGCGGUAAAAGAUGGGCAUGCGUCCUAUUAGUUUGUUGGUGAGGUAACGGCUCACCAAGACUACGAUAGGUAGGGGCCCUGAGAGGGGGAUCCCCCACACUGGUACUGAGACACGGACCAGACUCCUACGGGAGGCAGCAGUGAGGAAUAUUGGACAAUGGAGGCAACUCUGAUCCAGCCAUGCCGCGUGCAGGAUGACUGCCCUAUGGGUUGUAAACUGCUUUUAUAUAGGAAGAAACACUCCCACGUGUGGGGGCUUGACGGUACUAUAUGAAUAAGGAUCGGCUAACUCCGUGCCAGCAGCCGCGGUAAUACGGAGGAUCCAAGCGUUAUCCGGAAUCAUUGGGUUUAAAGGGUCCGCAGGCGGCCUGUUAAGUCAGAGGUGAAAGCCAACAGCUCAACUGUUGAACUGCCUUUGAUACUGAUAGGCUUGAGUUAUUGUGAAGUGGUUAGAAUGUGUGGUGUAGCGGUGAAAUGCUUAGAUAUCACACAGAAUACCCAUUGCGAAGGCAGAUCACUAACAAUAUACUGACGCUCAUGGACGAAAGCGUGGGGAGCGAACGGGAUUAGAUACCCCGGUAGUCCACGCCGUAAACGAUGGAUACUAACUGUUCGACCUUCGGGUUGAGUGGUCAAGCGAAAGUGAUAAGUAUCCCACCUGGGGAGUACGCUCGCAAGAGUGAAACUCAAGGAAUUGANNGGGCCCGCACAAGCGGUGGAGCAUGUGGUUUAAUUCGAUGAUACGCGAGGAANCUUACUA
rnacentral:rRNA from 1 species